AGAGAAUUGACCGAGUGGUCUAAGGUGAUAAGCUUGAAACUUAUUCGGUUCGUUUGACCACAUCCGUUCGAAUCGGAUAUUCUCUG
rnacentral:tRNA from 2 species